rnacentral:lncRNA from 1 species
UCUCAAACACCAUCUUUCUCAUCGAACUAGUGUUGCACUAAGGAAUUUCUACCAUUUCCACCGGCGAGGGAACUCCAAGCAACCCCAAAUUAACAUCACACUCUCCCUAUAAUCCCUCAAACACUAAACCACCAUCAAUUUUCCCGAAAUCCUCUUUGUUUUUCAUUAAUUUCAGAUCUUAAGACGGAACCCUAAUUCCUUCCUCGCCUCUGAUUCAUCAUUUAAGGGUCUGGUUUGAUUGUUCUCCAAGCCUUGAAGAUUUUUUGACUUGAAACAAGUGUUAGACGAGUUGUUCUCACAAGAAAAACCCGAAUAACACUCAUUUUGGGUUCAAAUCGAAACUGCCGAAUAAUCCGUUCAAACCCAUCGUCCAUUUAUCUCUUUCAGGUAUUUCAGGUCCUUUGGUUUUUUGUUGUAAUUUCAUUCCAAGAUUCGUUUGAUUCCUUCCUUUCUCUGAUUUUUCUAUUUUUUCACAUCACGCCUGUUAAUUUUAGUUUAUUUUUUUUUUCUUUCUUUCAGUUAGGGUUUGUCUUAGUUUGUUUGAUUUUGUUUUCGUUUAAAUUCCCCUCCCAUUUUUGUUUUAGUUGAAAUCCUUGGUUUCAAGUGUUCGUAUAACCAUGGUUGCCCUAUUAUUGAAUUUUUCUGUUGGGUUCUGGAUUUGUUAAUUGGGUUCUGAAAAUCAGAAGCCCAAAGAAGAGGGUCAGUCCGAGUGGCAGGCCCAAGGUUUGGGCUUGAGUCUUGGGUCAACUUGACCCAGGGUCUUGAGGAUAAAUAACCUAAGCUUAAAGGGUAAUUCGAGGUUUUUAAGUAGGAGAAUCUUCAGUAACUGAUUUAGGAAGCUACUAGGAAGGUGAGUUUGGGGCUGUUUUAACAAAUAACUUUUCAAACUAAGGACUCAAUAACAAAAAUGAAAAUUGAAAAAGGAUUAAUGAGCAAAGUUUGAACUCAUUUCUGCUACCCUAAACUUCCCUAUAAAAGGCCCUUACUUCUAGUCAAGAGGGAGGGGAUCAGACCUGGAGAAAUCAGAGACGGCUAAAAGAAAAUACUAUACACUGAAAAGGUCUGAAAAAUCAGGAGAAAAUACAAAAAAACACCACAAUACACUGUUACAUUAAAGCUUUGUGUGUAUUUCUUUGGGUUUUUAAAAGUUGGAAGUAAUCGUGGAUUCAUUCUAGGUUUGAAAUGGAUUAAAGAAGCUGAAUUUGUUGUUGUCAUUGUGCUGGAGUGUAUAUGUUUCUACUGUUAAACUUCUCAUUCUUUCUUCUGCUCUAAUUGCACCAGGUACUCUUCUGAAACUAUGGUUGGAAAUGAAGCCUGAUUGAGUUUCGUGUAAAGAUCUGUAAAUCGAGCUGAAGUUGAAUGAAAAGCAUUAGUCCCUGUUGUUGGUUGCUGCUUGAUUUUGCCAUAUUCUUAUUCAUGUUUUAGUCUAGCUUAUUGUGAAUACUCCAUUUCCUGAUAUACAUUUGGUUUUGAGUGCUGGAUUUAGACCUUGUGUGAAUACAGCUGAUUCAAGAGUGUUUUGGACUUGGUAGAAUAUGUAUUAAUUAAGGACUAUGAUUCCUAGUUUAAUUAGUUAAGGCUGGCUGGUUUGGAUGUAUGUUUCAUAGCUUUGGUAAAUUCUAAGUUCAGACCCUUUAUGUUAUUGGUCUAGCAAGCUUGAUUUAGGCUUAUUUCCCACUGAUUAUUUUAGAUUUGCUCCUAUAUCGCUUGAAAUACAGUACAGGGGUUUUAGAGUUGUCAUUUUGCUCAUGUAAACCUUGAAUCUUAAAAAGACUUUCGAAUGGGAUUUGAGUCUAAGUUUUGACUUGAAAUUUUUAAAUUUGGAUUAACUCUUCAUAUUUAGUUUUCUUGGGCAAGUUUCGAUGUCGUGUGGUCUGUUUUAAAUAUGCUAUAUUUGAAUCAGAAUUUAAUACGAGUUGGGGG